AGAGUUUGAUCCUGGCUCAGGACGAACGCUGGCGGCGUGCUUAACACAUGCAAGUCGAACGGGCCUUGUCCUCUUUUUUUUUGGGGGUGGGGUUAGUGGCGAACGGGUGAGUAACACGUGAGUAACCUGCCCCUCACUUCUGGAUAACCGCUUGAAAGGGUGGCUAAUACGGGGUGUUCUGGCCUGCUCGCAUGGGUGGGUUUGGAAAGAUUCGACCGGUUUUGGUUGUUUUGGUGGGGGAUGGGCUCGCGGCCUAUCAGCUUGUUGGUGGGGUGAUGGCCUACCAAGGCGGUGACGGGUAGCCGGCCUGAGAGGGUGGACGGCCACACUGGGACUGAGACACGGCCCAGACUCCUGCGGGAGGCAGCAGUGGGGGGUAUUGCACAAUGGGCGGAAGCCUGAUGCAGCGACGUCGCGUGAGGGAUGGAGGCCUUCGGGUUGUGAACCUCUUUCUCCGGUGGUGAAGGCCCUGUCCGUUGCGGCGGGGUUGACGGUAGCCGGGUAUGAAGCGCCGGCUAACUACGUGCCAGCAGCCGCGGUGAUACGUAGGGCGCGAGCGUUGUCCGGAAUUAUUGGGCGUGAAGGGCUUGUAGGCGGCCGGUCGCGUCCGCCGUGAAAUUCUCCGGCUCAACCGGGGGCUUGCGGUGGGUACGGGCCGGCUGGAGUGCGGUAGGGGAGGCUGGAACUCCUGGUGUAGCGGUGGAAUGCGCAGAUAUCAGGAGGAACACCGGUGGCGAAGGCGGGUCUCUGGGCCGUUACUGACGCUGAGGAGCGAAAGCGUGGGGAGCGAACAGGAUUAGAUACCCUGGUAGUCCACGCUGUAAACGUUGGGCACUAGGUGUGGGGGGCCUUUUCCGGGUUUUCCGCGCCGUAGCUAACGCAUUAAGUGCCCCGCCUGGGGAGUACGGCCGCAAGGCUAAAACUCAAAGGAAUUGACGGGGGCCCGCACAAGCGGCGGAGCAUGCGGAUUAAUUCGAUGCAACGCGAAGAACCUUA
rnacentral:rRNA from 1 species